rfam:Otolemur garnettii contig047055, whole genome shotgun sequence.
GCCAGGCGUUGUGGCGGGUGCCUGUAGUUCCAGCUACUUGGGAGGCAGAGGCAGGAGACUCGCUUGAGCCCAGGAGUUGGAGGUUGCUCUGAGCUGUGAAGCCAUGGCACUCUACCCAGGGGGAUAGCUUGAGGCUCCGUCUCAAAAAAAAAAAAAAAGGAAAUACAGUCCCAGCUACUAAGGAGGCAGAGGUGGGAAGAUCACUUGAGCCCAGGUCUUUUUUUUUUUUUUUUUUUUGAGACAGAACCUCAAACUAUCCCCCUGGGUAGAGUGCCAUGGCAUCACGCUCACAGCAACCUCCAACCCUGGGCUCAAGCGAGUCUCCUGCCUCAG